rnacentral:rRNA from 1 species
AGAGUUUGAUCCUGGCUCAGAAUCAACGCUGGCGGCGGCUUAACACAUGCAAGUCGCACGAGAAAGUGGAGCAAUCCAUGAGUAAAGUGGCGUACGGGUGAGUAACACGUGGAUUAUCUACCUUCUAGUGGGGAAUACCUCCGGGAAACUGGAGACAAUACCGCAUAAGAUCCGCAAGGAUGAAAGCCGCAAGGCGCCGAAGGAGGGGCCCGCGCCCGAUUAGCUAGUUGGUGAGGUAAUGGCUCACCAAGGCUUUGAUCGGUAGCUGGGCUGAGAGGAUGAUCAGCCACACUGGAACUGAGACACGGUCCAGACUCCUACGGGAGGCAGCAGUGGGGAAUCUUGCACAAUGGGCGAAAGCCUGAUGCAGCGACGCCGCGUGGGGGAUGAAGCAUUUCGGUGUGUAAACCCCUUUCGAUCCGGACGAAACCCCGCAAGGGAUUGACGGUACGGAUAUAAGAAGCCCCGGCUAACUACGUGCCAGCAGCCGCGGUAAGACGUAGGGGGCCAGCGUUGUUCGGAAUUACUGGGUGUAAAGGGUUCGUAGGCGGUGCGGCAAGUUGGGAGUGAAAUCUCUGGGCUUAACCCAGAGGCUGCUUCCAAAACUGCUGUGCUUGAGUGUGGGAGAGGCGCGUGGAAUUGCAGGUGUAGCGGUGAAAUGCGUAGAUAUCUGCAGGAACACCCGUGGCGAAACGGCGCGCUGGACCACUACUGACGCUGAGGAACGAAAGCUAGGGGAGCAAACAGGAUUAGAUACCCUAGUAGUCC